UACGUAGGGGGCAAGCGUUGUCCGGAAUCAUUGGGCGUAAAGAGCGUGUAGGCGGCUCGGUAAGUCCGCUGUGAAAGUCCAGGGCUCAACCCUGGAAUGCCGGUGGAAACUGUCGAGCUAGAGUCCGGAAGAGGCGAGUGGAAUUCCUGGUGUAGCGGUGAAAUGCGCAGAUAUCAGGAGGAACACCAAUGGCGAAGGCAGCUCGCUGGGACGUGACUGACGCUGAGACGCGAAAGCGUGGGGAGCGAACAGG
rnacentral:rRNA from 1 species